GCCUCGUACGUACGAGAUAAUAUUACAGUGGAAGAGGCAUCCAUUUUGCGUCACCACUACCCUUCACUGGGACCUCCCUCAACUCAACUGCGCAUUUUAGAGCAGCUGAGGGCGAUAGUGUGAAGCUACUCUGCUCACAUCCUAAAGCUUUCAGAUUAACUUCAGCAAUGGCACUUCAAAAGGAUAUGUAUGCAUUUCUUCGUGACGGUGGGAUUGUUGAUGAGGUAAUCCAGGAGAUGAAAACCCAGAAGAUUGACUCUUCAAUUGUUUUGCUCAUAGAAGAUACAUCUUCAGAGAAGUACUUGCCGGCUCUUGGUGAUAGAGUAGCUUUGCGAAGAUAUUGUGAUAACCAUGCUGAGAAAACGUCAAGUGAUUGCAAGAUCGUACCUUCCAGGAAAAACAUUCUCCUUGAAAAACUGAGAAAGAAAAUGAAAUUAAAGCCUUCAUUGACUGCCACUGAGGAUUCAAGUGAUGACAAGCAUAGUCAGUGCAAUGACAGGAAAUUGGGAAACAAGUAUGCUGCAAAAAGCACCAGAAAAAUUGAGAUUGGGUGGAUACAUAAUGGUGAACAAGUCCGUGCUCGUGGUGGGGGUGGCACUAGAAGAAUUCCUGUAUCAAAAUAUUGACUGUGAUGACCUUUUAAAGAUUGGUAAGGAUCCGUUCUUCCCAGAUGGUCAGUCAAAGAAAGGUAAUGAAAAUCAAUUCACAUUUGAAAUAUGGGAUUUUAAAGAAAAUGUGCUGCCACUUGAUAUGACUGUUGGGGCUGCCUAUGAAAAAGUAAAAAUGGGAAUAGUGCGUUUUCUAUUUGGCAUCUUUGGAUCAUGGGGCAGUUGAAACUGUUGUGCUCGUGGAAGACAAAGUCCCAGAAGUAACUGUCUUGUGAAAAAUCUGGAUUGGCACAAUUCUGUGUUCUGCCAAAGGUCAGCCUCCACUCUGAAUCUGAACCAGAUACUGCAGCUCAUUUAUUAAAGAACUUUCCUAGCUCUCCAUUGGAAAAACUUCUGUCAAUGUACAGCAGUCAAAUUCAGAAGGUGAGCUUGGCCAUGGGGCAUCUAGAAAUAUUCUACAGUAAUCUGCUUUUUUUUUUUUUUUUUUUUUUUUUAAGUGCCAUGCACUCUUCUGACUCAGAAAUAGAAUUUGGCCCACUAAAUUAAGAAACUGAAACCUGUGAUGACACACUUCCUUCGGAAGUACAUUUUUUUUUCUAAUUUAAACCAACAGGUAGUGUCUUCCAAUAAGCCAAUGCCUCAGGGUGCAAUUAUGUUUGUUUCUUCAAUAUCUGAAAAAAGUGCGGCAAUGCUACCAUCAUGUUCAACGCAAACACCAAAAGGAGACGUAACUAUCUUACCAUCAUUGCUCUUCCCACUCCCUGCACCAGACUGUUCAACAGUGCAGCAGCCGCCACAACACAAUCUCGCUCCCUCUUCGUCUCCACUACAGCAGGUACUACAGUUGCCUCCACCAAGGCCAGACUCUCUAACAUUACAGCUGUCCCCAGAUCAGUCUUGCUCCCUCUUCACCUCCAAUACAGCAGUUAGCAAACUCUCCUCAGCCAGCGCAACUCUCUCCAACACAGCAAAAUGCAGGUGUACGCAUUUUGACUUUACGUAGAGUCAUCAUACUGCAAGAUAUGUUGGGAGAGUUUAAGGAUUCUAAUAUUUUGAAUGCUUCCUUGACCACAGAGUUUGUAGAUGAAGCAGGUUCUGAUGUAUUGGGUAUCUCUCGAGAUGCUUAUUCUGCAUUCUGGGAAGCUUUCUUUCAAAACUGUGCCGAAGGGGAGUAUGAGCGUGUGCCAGCACAGUAUCCUGAAUAUGGGAAGGAAGAGUG